UUUUGUUAAUAUACUCGAAGAAAAUUACUACCUUCAAUUAUUCAAUAAGCUACAGCCAUUGCCAUACUUGGUAAGCUCCAUUCAGUGGCUCUAUUAAUUACCUAGAUGAUGUCUCUGAAUCCUUUAUUGCUUUUUGUUAAUAUUACUUCAUGUCUGUUUCUCUUUCUUACUGAAAAGUAGGGUCUUUGAUAAAUCAUCUAAGUUUGUUGCCAGGGGCUUCUCUUUCAGGUUAAUAGAAUACAGUUUGCCAGAUAUCUCCUAGGUGUAAAAGUAGAAACAGGCACAGUCUAGAGAAAAGUGAGGAAACAUUAGCAGGAACUGACUUUCUCAUGCUGACUUAUUAAGGAUCUUCACUUCUUCCAGAUUCCUAUAUUUUGGACAUUUCACUGCUCAUUAGAUUCUCCACCAAGGAUAAUGAAGGGGAUAGAAAUAAGAAGAAUUUGGCUGGUGAAAAAGAUUGUCACAAUGAUUGAUACAUUGACUAACAAAAACUUGCCAAGUAUAUGAGAAUUUUCUUAUUUUAAUAUCUCCUCAUGGCUCAUAGUUAGCCAAGAUCUUAUGCAUACAGGCACUUAUUUUACAUUUCAGGAAUCUUCAUUACAAUUUGCAAGUGUUAUUUUCUGUGUAAGAUGUCAUAUUAUUCGCUGUAUUGUGAAGACUUUUAUUUUAUAUGUAUGAAGAAUUUCAGUUUCUGUGACGCCUCAAUACCUAAUGAUGCUUGUCAUUAGUUCUGGUGCUCUUCUGUACUAAAAAUAAGUUUGAUUGGCAUGAACAGUCACUGUAUUCUUAUCCUAGGAUUUUUUUCCCAUUUAGAUAAUCAAAUUUAAAAAUCAAUACUGUGCAUUUUAAUGAAGAAUCUAUUUUAAAGUUAAUCUUCUAAAAACACCAUAGCAGAUUCUUAACUUAUACCUGGAACACAGCCAGAAAAAGUUUGGCAAUGUAGCAAUCAGACAAUCAGUCAUUAGACAAUUGUUCUUUUUCUUUAACUUAUUUAUGAGGCCACACACAAAAAGGAGUAAAGAACCUUGCAGGAACAUCCUGUAAAGAGUAUAGAAGGGGGUGGGCAUAAGAUUUAAACUGAUGAAUCCUCAAAUGAUUUUAUUAAAAUCUAAAGGUUGCAUAAUUUAUAAAGAGGAUUUUCUAAAUUACUAACAGCACAAUAAUCAUUUACAACUGAGGCAAGACAUCACUUUCUCUCAUACAACUAAGAACAAACUAGUUUGAAGAGACAAAGUUUCCAAAAAGUACAUGUGUACAUGGUUGUGUUUUCUGCAAGGGGUCCCAAAAGCCUCCCCUUCUCAGUGCAUGAAGAAAACAGCCUCAUUUGUCAGUUUGCCAAUGAUGUGAGACCUCCCUGUUCAAUAAAGUAGCUUCAUCCUUUCUUUAUUCAAGCAAGACAAGUUUGCUGGACACGGCAGAAACUGAGAAGAAGACAGUACAUCUAUUUUCCACUUGGUGGAGGGAGUAAGCAAGGCUUAAGAGAAAAUGUCAGAAGCCUGUUAAAAGACAGAAUCCUAUACCUCACCAAAAAGCUACUGCAGAUAUGCAAAGACGACAGGGACCUGCAUCCAUUCUAACAGAGAAUAAUGUAGGCUGGGGUGCAAGAGGAUCUUCGGUCCUACUGUGACCUCCAACUUUUCCUUCUACUUGUGGCUUCUUCCAAUCUCAUCUCCAGCUCUCUCGUUUGGGAUAUUUAACUUUUAAGAAACUGCUGGUUUCCAUAACAGUUAUUCUAUUUUACAUGGACACCAAUAAUACACGGGGUUCUAGUUGUUCCAUAUCCUCACCAAUAUUUGAUAUUUUAGUAUUUUUCAUUUCAAGCAUUCAAAUGAGGGUGUUGUCGCAUCACACUGUGGUUUCAGUUUGCAUUUUUCCAGUGAUUCAGUGGCACCAAACAACUUUUCAUAUGUGCUGUGGGAAUUCUUAUAUAAAGAUUUGGUAAAAUGUUAGACUCUUUCGUCCAUGUUUUAAUUGUGUUGUUUUUCUUUUCAUAAUUAAGUUACAGGUGUUCUUCAUAUAACCUUAAUAAAAGCUAAGAGUCAGAUACAUGUUUUAAAAAUACCUUUUCCAAAUCUGUGGCUUGACUUUCACUUUUGCAAUAUUGUUUUUUGAUAAGCAAAAUAUUUACAUUUUAGCUAAGUCCGAUUAAAUGUUUCUGUUUAUUAUUAGUGACGCUUGAUCUCACCUAAGAAAUGUUUUCCAACCCAAAACUUAUGAACAUAUUUUAUUAUAGAAUAUUUAUAGAUUUAACUUUUACAUUUAGGCCUGUGAACCAUCUCAAAUUACUGUUUUGUGUGUGAUAUAAGAAAACUUCAAGUUUUUCCAUAUAAUUAUCUAGUUGUUCCACUAUUAGUUACUGAAAAUAAUCUCCUUUCUCAGAUUAAGUUUGACAAAAAUCAGCCGAUUACAUGUGUGGAGAUCUAGGCCUAGAAUAUCUAUUUUGUGCUAUUGGUAUUUUUUUUUAUCCUAACUCCACCAGCAUCAUGUCUUACUUAUUCUAGUUUUACAAUAUGUACCAAAAUCUGGUACUAAAAUCCUCCAAUUUUGUGUUUCUCCUUCAAGAUUGUGUUGGCUAGUCAAGAGCCACAUAAUGAAGUUUUCAUUUUUAAAUAAGUUUCUUCAAUCUACAUGUCAAUUUCCACAGAAAAUUCUGCUGUAAUUUUUGUUGGAAUUGUCUUGAAAUUAUAGAUAAAUUUAGGAGAAAUGACAUCUCAAUAAAAUCAAGUUUGCCAAUCUUUAAAUUAACAUUUUUCUGGGGUUUUUUGAACAUCUUUAAUUUCAAACUAUCAAACAAGUUUUUAUACUUUGUUGUAUGGAGUUUUUACAUAUUUGUUAAUAUCUUCCUGCAUUUUUAAUUUUUGAAACUAUUAUAAAUAAUAAUUUUCUAAAUUUGGGUUUCCAGAUUUUGUUUGUUUUUGGGGGACUAUUCUAUGGACAUGCAUUGAUGUUUUUACAUUUACUUUAUAUCCUUUAUAUCCAGCAAUAUUGCCAAGUUAAUUUAUCCUUUCUAGCAGUUUCUUUAUAGACGGCAUUGAUUUACACUUUUGAUACACACAAUUAUGUCAUUAUAGGAAUAUAGUUUUAUUUUUCCUUUUAUUUAUAUAUGCUCUUUCUUUCGUCUUUCAUUCAUUCUUUCUUUCUUUUUUCCUCUUUUCCUAUUACUUUUCCUAGUACUAGCUAGGACCUGCAGAACAGUAUUUUUAAAACAUUGAUGGUAAAAUUGGAACUUUUUUCUUCCCAAAUAUAGGAGGGAAAGUUUUUGUCAUCUGUUUUGUCAUCAUUAAAUAUACUAUUACCUGUAUUCCCUAUAGGUUUUCCAUAAAUGCCUUUGUCAUUUUAAGGAAGUUUCUUUCUAUUUCUAGUUUGCUAAUAUCAUUUCUAUAGCUAAUUGAUUUUGAAUUUUAAUUGAAUAACUUUUCUUAAUUGAGACGAUUGUGUUUUCUUCUUUAUUAUGUGUAUUGAUAGAUGGUGAUGAUUGAUUUAUGAAUGUUAACCUAGUCUUUCUCUCUUAGGAUAAAACUCAUUUAAUCAUGAUUUCAAGUAUAUUGAUAAAUUUAAUUUGCUAAUAUUGAUAAAGGAAUUUUGGAAUGAUGAUGCAUUAGUCAGUUUUCACACUGACUGAAACUGAGUCAUUUAUCAACAAAAGAGGUUUAAUUGACUCACAGUUCUGCAUGGCUGGAGAAGCCUCAGGAAACUUACGAUCAUGGCAGAAGGCAAAGGAGAAACAGGCACCCUCUUACACGGUAGCAGGAGAGAGUGUGCCAUAAGGGGAAAUCCCAGACACUUAUCAAACAACCAGAUCUCAUGAGAACUUCCCUACUAUCAGGAGAAUAGCAUGGGGGAAACUGCCCUCAUGACUGAAUCACCUCCUACCAGGUCCCUACCUCAACACAUGGGGAGUACAAUUCUAGAUGAGAUUUGAGUAGGGACACAGAGGCAAACCAUAUCAGAUGCAUAUUUUUUUUUUCCUUUUAACACCUUUGUCAAGAUUGUACUGGUUUAUGAAGUAAAUGUGAAUAUAUCUUCUCUUCUAUUUUCUGAAAUAUAUAAGAUUGGCAUUUUCUUUUUAAAAAUAUUCUUUUUAGGGGUAGCUUCCUAUUUCUGCUGACAUCUUUCCCAUCCAGUUGCUUAGCUGUUCAUCUCCAAGUUCAUGUACAGGUUUCUAAUAGGUAUUUAGAAUCAUCGUUCAAUAAUUAAAACAUCUAGUUCAAUUGUGGCUUGGCUUCUAUAAGCUCUUUUAUUUCUUGAAAAUGGGCAAUGCUUUCCUACCUUUUUGCUUGUCUAGUACUUUCUGUUAUUGUAUGCUGGACAUUAUGGAUGAUAUAUUAUAGACUGUGGAUUAUGCUAUCUUUUUGCUUUGGAGGCAUUUGAUUACAGGUGGAUUGUUUUAUUUUCUUCAGCCUUGUUUUUUGUCUUUUUAAGGAUGAGUUUAUUUCAGUUUUGCCCUUAGUUCUAGAGUAAAGAACUUGCCAAAGAUAGCAUAAAGUAGUCAGCAUUAGAUCUUUACUUUAAAUGCAUGCCUGUUUGAGGGUUUCAACUGAAUGCCUGGCUUAGCUACUGAGGAGUCUGGACUCUAGUUGAGUCAAAACUUUGUCAUCUACACAACUUUUCGGGCAUGAUCUUUGUGGAAAUGUCUGCUGAGAAAUCUCUGCUGAGCUGUCGGCCCUUCAUCCUGCUAUUAUGCCUUAAUGGAAUUUCACUUUGCACCCCAAGAAUCAGAGGAUAACUCCUCUUCAGAUUUAUAGAUAGUGAGGCCUAUGGCUACCUUCCGCCUGCCAACACGCUCCACAAAUUCCAACCAUGUUAGCAGCCCCCAAACACCAAACUCUUGUUUUACUCUACCCAGUGAGAGUUCUUCCUACUUUCAAGCAUCGGACAUUGCCCCAGGCAGAAAGCCAUGACAAAUAGAACGCUUCCCCUACACUCCCAAGAGGAUUUCAGCCUUACAAUGGCUGCUAUCCAAUAGCUAUAAAUAUUUGCUUCACAUAAUUGGUCUAGUUUUAUAGUUGCUUAGAUAAUCAGUUAGAUCUAAUACUAGCUCCUUUAACAAUACUGGAACUAGAAGUUGUGGACAGCUCGUAUUCAUCAUUCAAGGUAGCAGCUUUACCUGGGACUCUUUCCCCACAUCUGGAUUAGAAGUCCCAGUCAAAAUGCCAUCUAAAUUGUUUAUAAUUCUGCCACUAUAGCAUUUAACCCACUUUUGUGUUUAUUUAUUUAAUCAUUUGUCUUCACCAAUCGAUUGUAAUCUGGCGAAUGCAUUGCCACCUCUAUCUCCCUAACUAAAUACUCUUAGGAGCUUAUCAAAAUACAUGACACACGGUGGGCAUUCAACAAGUACAUCCUAAAUAAAUAAUUAAUUAAUAUGUUCAUUUCAACAUUUCCUUGUGCCUUUCACAGCAGAUGUCUUCAUUAUUUAUCUUUGGUAAAAAUAAUUAAGCAGUCAUUUUGUAAAUAGUCAUGAAUAUUUACUAUACUUUAAAUAUGUUCUAGGUAGCAUGACAUUUUCAAGGAAGUAUACACGAGGGUUUAUUACUUUACUGAGAAUAAAGUCUAUGGGGCAGACAAUUUACAAUACAGUGUGAUAGAAAUCUAAAGAGAUGCCAAAGAGUUGGUCAGGUAAUGUUGUGCUAUGCCAAUGUUAAGAGUUCUAAUGUUAGUAUUCACAUAACUAAUUUUCAUAGUCUCGAAAUCUUCUGACAUUUUCUUCCCUUUGAAAUAUUUAUUUUCAGGAUGGUAAACUUUUUAUUCACAUAAUAACUAUUUUUAGGGAUAAGAAGGUCAGAAGCACUAACUUUCUUCAUUCCUUUCCUACCACAUGUUUAGAAUUCACAAACCAGCUUAACGGCUUAAUAAAAGAUUGAAUUCUCUUUCUUCUCCUUCCUCGAAAUCUUCUCAAGACAGUCUAAAAAGCAUUUCCCAGGUUUAAUGUCAAAAUAGAAAUUAGCAACUCAGGGCUGAACUCCUAGGAACCCUCAUUCUCUGUGAGCUCUGGAACCAGGCUCUAUUUUGAAAAUUGUGGAAAAUCAAAGUUUCUCUGUAAUGAUGUUGCUCAAAUAUCUGACCUGAAAUGAUUAUAUAGACCAAUUUAAUACUGAAGAAUAAAAGCUUAUCAUAAAAUGAGAAGACAUUAAACAAUACUCUGAUGGUAAGGAUUUCAUGUAAGAAUGUAUGGUUUUGAUCUCUUAGAACAAAAUUGACAUUGAACUAAGACAUGCCAACCACUGAGGAGUAGCAUGAGUUUUAGUCACAGCAUCUUGAGUUUGGUGAGUUACAAUAGAGAGCCUGUGUCACUCAGCUCCACAAAUUCUACCACCAUGAAAAGUUUCCAGGGAGUGGUAGAAUAUGUUUGUCCUCUUUUGCUUGCAACCCUGGUAAACUGCUCAAGAGGAAUUUUCUCAUUCCAGAUGAGAACAAAUAAUGCCCUUUCUCUUCUAGACAAGUGACUAUUUCUUCCCCCAAAACCACAGAUGCACAGAAUAGUGAUAAAAAUACAAACUUAUAUGCUGCCUCCUAUUGAAACUUCCAAAGACCAAAAGAGGAAAAAAAUUGUGAGGGGGCUUAGCCAAAAGACUUACUGAGGCUAUACAGAUUAUCUUACAUUCAGGUAAUAUAUGAUGCUGGUGUUGGGCUGAUACAUAGUGAUGCUGGGGUAGGGUUGGAGGUAAGUAUUAUACUAAUAGUCACAUAUUCUCAGAAAUCUGGGUCCUUUGAGGUCUGGCCAGAAAAGGAAUAGCAGUUCUGUCAGAGGACAUAGUAACUGCAAGAAGAGUAGCACAGACUAGGUGCAUAUUCUGAUGCCAGAAGACCUUUUCAGACAGGGUCAGCCUGUAACAGAAAUGGCUUUUAAUACAGGACAGUCCAGAUUCCCAAUUGUGUUGACAUACUGGGCUACCCAAGCACAUCACAGGUACAAAGGAAUUAGGAUGCUGGGGCUUAUUUGGGCUAAAUUACUCACAGGUGCUUCUAACAAAGGUGGCAGAUUGAACAUACACAUUUACCUCUAUAUCCUCCCUAAAUCCCAUGAAAUGACCAAAAACGUGUGAAAUAAACCCAAAAGACAAAAGAAUUGAAUAGGAGAUGACAGCGACCCAAUUUUAGACCUGAAAAGCAAAUGAGCAAAUGGUUUCUCAUUGAACAAACCAAAUAGAAAAAUGAAAACAGAAUAUGCAAAGAAGCAAAAAAUAAAUAAAUAAAGCAAGCCAAUUCACAUUACAGAACACAAAGUUUAGAAUUUGCAGACACUGGCGAGUUCUGAAAGUCAGGGUUCCCUUGGGGAUGAAAAUCACAAGAGCAAAGUAUUUUGUUUUGAAAACAGACAUUUCCAUUGUGUCUAAAAUAGUGUUUGGCAUAUUGUAAGCACUUGGUAAAUAUUUGUUGAAGAAAUGAAUUAAUAAAGUCAAGUCUUUCUAAAGAACAGCUAGACCCCCACCACUUUAUAGGACUGUAAGUUUAAUUACUGAAGAGAUAGAACAGAAGGGCUCUGGGUUUAGAAACAUCAGAUACAGCAGACGGUGAAGGUAAAGAUAAAAUUUGUUUCUGUACCCUAAAGUAUGAGAACUAUCCCUCUCUGUUUGCCCCAGAGAAUACUACAGGUUUAUUCUCUGGGAAAACAAUUUUAAGAGGAGAGAUCCACAGAUACUGACAGAAAUUCCUAAAUAAGCUGCACAAACAAACCUACCCAUAAUGAAUCUCAACAAACAUAUUUUCCUCUCUCUCUUACACAUAUACCCCCCUUUAAUCAAGUUUAGUGGCUCACUACUAAAGUCAUGGAUUACCACACAUUUGAGAAAAGUCCCUAAGAUAACAGAGAUCAAAAUAAAAAAAAAAAGAUAGGAAAAAUCGCAAAGAAACUUGGAAAAUAGAGACAGUGUGGAAGGCUGAAUACAAUUAGCAGGGGAAAAAUAACCCAGCCAUGUUAUGCUCAGAGAAAUAAUUGAGGUUGCUGCUUCCAUGAAAGAAGCGAUGAUUACACAAAAGAGAACAUUUAGAAAACAAAGGAGUGCUCUUGAAAUAAAAUACAAACAUGCCAAAGGAAAAUAAAAAUUCAGUAGAAAUUUUAGAAAAUUGACCAAAUCUCAAAAAAAGACCCAAAAUACAAAAAAGAAAGGAAAGGAAGAGAAAGGAAAGCAAAGGAAAGGAGAGGAAAGGAAAGGAAAGGAAGAAAAAAAGAAAGAAAGAGAGAGAAAGGAGGGAGGGAGGGAGGAAGGAAGAAAAUAAAGAGAAAAAAAGUAAAAGAAAGAAGAAAGAAGCUAGACACUGUGGCCCAUGUUAGUAAUCCCAGAGAUUUGGGAGGCUGAGGCAGGAGGAUUGCUUAAGGCUAGGAGUUUGAGACCAGCUUGGGCAACACAGUGAGACCACAAACAAAUUUUAAAUAAUUAGUCAGGCACGGUAGUGUGUGCCUGUAGUCCGAGCUACUCAGGAGGCUGAGGCAGAAGAAUUGCUUGAACCCAGGAGUUCAGGUUUACAAAUAGUGUAGUGAUUAUGCCAUUACGCUCCAGCCUGGGUGGCAGAGCAAGACUCUGUCUCAAAAGAAAAAAAUAAAAACAAAAACAAAAAGCAAGAAAGGAAAGAAGAAAGAAAAGAAGAAACUGCAAGGAGAGAAGAAAAUUCUAAAGUUGGUUCAGGCGAUCUAAUAUAAAAAGAAGAGAAUUCUAGAAAGAGAAAAGAUAAACAAAAUUGAAUAAGUACAAUUGUUGGAGAAAUAUUUCAAGAAAAGACCCACCAUAUUGUUUGCAAAAAAGAAUAAAGAGUGAACCACACUGAGACACAUAAAUACGAAAGUUCUGAACCUUGAAUACAAAAAGAAGAUCCUAAGCACUUCAAGAGGAAAUAGGAGGUCACAUGCACAAGGUAAGAAGUCAAAAGUGCUUCAGAAAUCUCUAAACAAAACAAAAACAAGUAAAAAUGAAAACACUAGAAACUAGAAAACAAGAGUACAUUGCUUUCAAAGUUUUGAGAAAAAUGAUUUAUGAUCUAGAAGUUCCUUUCAGCCAGGUUAUCAAAUUUCAAACAAAAACAAAAACACUCAAGCACGUUUUCUUUGGAAGUUCCUAAACAAUUUAUUCCCCAAAUGAAAGCAUAAGUCAAAAAAGUGUAAGACACAGAAUCCAGGUGCUCUAGCAAGGGAAAAUCUGUAGAACGUUUGCAGAAUGACAGUUGUGCCACAGGCCCAUUCAAAUUAGAGUAGGGCAACAGGAGAGAAGAGAACAAAGCUGAGGAGAGGACAGGAUGGGAG
rnacentral:lncRNA from 1 species